rnacentral:rRNA from 1 species
UGGGCGUAAGCGCUCCGCAGCGGWCCUACUAGUCUGCCGUUAAAACCUGGGAAGCCUUCAACUCCAGUCACGGCCGAUGGAAUACUGUAGGACCUGGAGAUGUGGUAGGGGCAAGAGUGGAAUUCCCGGUGUAGCGGUGAAAUGCGUAGAUAUCGUGGAAGAACACCAGUGGCGAAAGCGCUCUGCUGGGCCAUAACUGACGCUCAUGGACGAAAGCCWGGGGAACGAAAGGGAUUAAUACCCCUGUAGUCCUGGCCGUAAACGAUGAACACUAGGUGUCGGGGGAAUCGACCCCCUCGGUGUCGUAGCCWACGCGUUAAGUGUUCCGCCUGGGGAGUACGCACGCAAGUGUGAAACUCAAAGGAAUUGGCGGGGGAGCACAA